GUUUAUAUUCAUUCCAUGUUUAAAUUUAUUCUAAAGCAAGAAAUAUGAAAUAUGAAGAAGAGAAACAAUUAAUCUAGUUGUUCUUUCAAUUCAUCUUCCUCCUUGUAUUAUGGUAUCAGAGCAGUAAGAUCAAAACUUCCGCCAACAACCGUCCUCUAUCGAAAUUCUCACCAGCAGCACCUUUUCUUCUAGCAGCAAAAUUUUGGCAGCACGUUUUCUUCCAGCAGUAUAAAUUCUCCUUCCAGUAGCUUAAUUUUCUCAUUCCUUCACCUUGACCAGUACUCAAACUCCUUCUCAAUUGAUCAACGACAUCACUUCUCCAUACUUCUUAACCUGCUGACAAUCCUGGUGCUGUCUUAGUGCCUGACCUCAUCACCAGUGAUAACUAUCCUGCCUGGAAACGUUCAAUGCGCAUGGCCCUUAAUGCCAAAAAUAAGCUUGUUUUCGUCAAUGGUUCUCUAGAAAAAUUAGCAGAUUCUUCAAUCGCUGCACUCUGGGAUCGUUGCAAUGAUAUGGUCCUCUCUUGGCUCUUCAAUUCGAUUGAUAAAUCUUUACGCUAAAGAUUAAUUUAUUGUUCAAAAUCAUUUGAUGUUUGGAUGGAUUUGGACAACCGUUUUUGCCAAAGUAAUCAACCCCACCUCUAUGGCCUUUAUUGUGAUCUUGUAAACCUCAAACAAGGUACCAUGUCCAUCACCACAUACUAUAACACUAUCAAGUGUGAUUCCUGGCCUCUCUGAUGAAAACUAUCAGCAAUUGAUGGACCUUCUUCAACCCAGCGCUAAUAGCUUCUCUGGUAUCUCGUCCUUGACCUCUAAAACUACUCUGCCAUGGAUCAUAGACACUGAGGCUUCAGCCCCAUAUCUUCUCUAUUGUCAAUUUAUCUAUUGCUACCAACGUUCUCGUGACUCGCAGUCUUUAACUCUACCUACAGGUGUCUCGGCUCAAGUUACUCAUAAGGGCCAUAUUCGUCUCUCUCUACACUUCUUUUUAAUGUGCUUUUUGUCCUUGAAUUUACUUAUAAUUUACUCUCUGUUAGCUAGCUCAUUAAAACAUCCAAUUGCAUUGUAAUUUUUCUCCCUCACGUUUUUUUUUCAGGACCAACACACGAGGAGGUUGAUUGGAAUGGGUGAAGAAUGGGGUGGCCUCUACCAUCUUAAGCUUAUUUCUCCAGUUGCACUACAAAUCGGCUUCAAGGCUAAUUCCACCUCAACCUUAUGGCAUCUCCGCUUAGGUCACCCUUCCAUUUCUUGUAUUCCAAAAUUUUUAUGUACGUCGGAUAUGAUUGAGAAUUGUGAUAGUUGUAUUCGAGGCAAACAUAGUCGUCAUCCUUUUAAAUUAGUUGAGAAUAAAAGUGAUUCCAUAUUUCAUCGUGUUUUUUGUGAUAUUUGGAGUAGCUAUUCUACACCAUCUACAUCUUGUGCACAUUAUUUUCUCACUAUUGUCGAUGAUUUUUCUCAUGUUACUUGGGUAUACCUUAUGCGCUUUAAAUCUGACACAUUUUCUUGUCUCACGACCUUUAUUAAAAUGGUUAAUAGAGACUUCAAUUGUUCUAUCAAAUAUGUUCGUUCUGAUAAUGGUCAAAAUUUCCUUUCCCAUCGCAUGCAAAAAUUCUUUCUUGAUCAUGGCAUCAUCCAUGAACAAACUUGUGUUAAAACACCACAACAAAAUGGUGGAGCUGAAUCGCCAUCUCUUAAAUGUGGCUCGGUGUCUUCUUUUUCAUGCCCAUUUACCUAUUUCCUUUUUGGGCGAAUGCAUACUCACUGCUACUUAUUUAAUCAAUCGCACCCAUUCUUCCUCUCUCCAACUCAAAACUCCUUACGAGCUCCUUUUUCAAAAGGGCCCCUCAUAUGAUCAUCUUCGCGUGUUUGGAUGCCUUUGUUGUGCACGCACUUUGAAACUCCAUCGUGAUAAAUUCUCCCCUCACGCUACCCCUUGCAUCUUUAUCAGCUAUACUCAAACCCCACACAUUUAUCGUGCUUAUGACCUAAACACAAAAACUAUUUUUCUUUCUCGUAAUGUACACUUUGUAGAAUCUGUCUUCCCUUUUGCUACUCUCCCAUCACACUCAGGACAAUCACCAUCACCUUCCCCACCUGACGAUCGACGUUUCCUGGAUAUAUAUCAUCAUUUUCCAUCACCUAACAUCAAGCCAAGUUCUAACUCCAUUUCUCCAUCAUCAACCCCUUCCGCCACUGCAUCUCUCGAUCCAUCCCUAUCCCCCAAUUCUACAUUUCCUGCAAAUCCCUCAGACGACCUCUCAAACACCAUCCCAUCCACACCCACUUCACAAAGACUUCGCCGCACCAUCACAUGUCCCACAUACCUUAGGGAUUACAUUUGCUCAAACUUGCCGUUGAAGACCACACGUUCAACGUCUUAUUCUCAGUCCUUCUCAGGUACGGUUCAUUCUUUACCCAAUUUUCUCUCUUAUCAUUUCUUUAGUCCAAAACACUUUACCUUUUUAUCUUCUGUCUUGAAAAACAUCCAGGACCCUCUUCUAUAUUCUCAAGCUAUCCUUGAGCUCCAUUGGCGACGAGCGAUGGCCUCAGAAAUUCAGGCAUUGGAGGCUAACCAAACAUGGACCCUUGAAACUCUUCCUCGGUCUACAAAACAAAAUUGUGUGCAGAUGGUUCCAUCGAAAGCCAUAAGGCUUGUUUAGUUGCCUAGGGUUUUACUCAGGUAAAAGGUUUUGACUAUCAUGAUACUUUUACACUUGUGGCUAAACUUGUUAUUGUCCGUUGUCUUCUUACUAUAGCUGCAGCUAAACAUUGGAUCGUACACCAGCUGGAUGUUCAUAAUGCUUUCUUCCAUAGCGAUCUUGAUGAGGAAGUAUACAUGACGCCCCACCAGGGUAUUGUCGUCACGAUGAGAUGUACGUAUGUUGUCUUCACAAAUCUCUUUAUGGACUCAAACAAGUGUCUCGGCAAUCGUACUCGAAAUUAUCUCAUACUCUCAAUCUUGCAGGUUUCAGCCAAUCCUCCGUUGAUCAUAGUCUCUUUACCAAAAUUCAAGGAAUGGUUUUCAUAGCUAUUCUUGUAUAUGUCGAUGACAUUUUUGUGGCUGGUAAUGAUCUCUUUGCCAUCACUUCCAUCAAAUCUCAUCUUGCUGAUACAUUCAAGAUUAAAGAUCUCGGUGAUCUCAAGUAUUUCCUUGGAAUUGAGGUUGCUCGUUCCCCUAUUGGCAUCUUCAUCAAUCAUCGUAAAUGUACUUUGGAUAUUCUCUCAGACUCUAGUCAACUAGGAUCUCGCCCUGCUUAAUUUCCAUGGAGCAACUUUUAAAACUUACUAACUCGGAUGGUGACCUUUUGAUCGAUCCUAGUUCAUAUCGAAGAUUAAUUGCGCGAUUGAUAUACUUGAUUGUUUCUCGACUAGAUAUCACAUUCACCGUCAAUGUUCUCAGUCAGUUCAUGUAUGCUUCUCAUGUUCUUCAUCACCUUGCAGCUCUCCGUGUCCUCUGCUACUUGAAGACCACUCUUGGCUAUGGUCUAUUCUUCUCAUCCACAUGUAGCUUUCAGCUCUUUACCUUUUGUAAUUUUGAUUGGGAUAGCUGUCCACUCACACGCCAAUCCACUACUGGCUACGUCAUCAAGUUAGGCGACAGCCCACUUUCUUGGCGCACAAAAUGGCAACCAACUAUCUCUCGUUAUUCAGUUGAAGCUAAAUAUUGUUCUAUGGCAUCCACCACUUGUGAGCUUGUCUGGAUUCGUCUCCUCCUGCACGACAUUGCUAUGCCUCACUCUCAACCUGCUCUUCUUCAUUGUGACAACCAGGCAGCUAUUCACAUCGCUCGAAAUCCAGCUUUUCAUAAACGUACCAAACACAUUGAAUUGGAUAGUCAUCUGGUUCGUGAAAAAAUUCGAUCCGGUCUACUUACUCCUUCCUACGUCUCGGCUUCUCAACAACAGGCAGAUAUUUUUACUAAGCCCUUGGGACGUGAAUUAUUUGUUUUCUUCCAAUCCAAGUUGGGCAUUACGGAUCUCCGUGCUCCAACUUGAGGGGGAGUAUUACACAAUAUCUUUAUUAUUAUUUUCCUUGUAUAGUUUAUUCUCCUCCAUGUAUAGAUUUAUUCUACAGCUACAAAUAUGUAAUAUGAAGAAGAGAAACAAUUAAUCUAGUUGUUCUUUCAAUU
rnacentral:lncRNA from 1 species